AGUGUGGGUAGUCCAUAACGAGCGCACCCUAUUUCUAGUUUGCCAGCGGUUCGGCCGGGGCACUCUAGAGAAACUGCCAGCGUAAGCUGUGAGGAAGGUGGGGACGACGUCAAAUCAUCACGGCCCUUACGUCCUGGGCCACACACGUGCUACAAUGGUGGGGACAACAAGUUGCCAACCCGCGAGGGUGAGCUAAUCUUCAAACCCCAUCUCAGUUCGGAUCGGAGUCUGAAACUCGACUCUAUGAAGCUGGAAUCGCUAGUAAUCGCGCAUCAGCCAUGGCGCGGUGAAUACGUUCCCGGGCCUUGUACACACCGCCCGUCAAGCCAUGGAAGCUGGGAGUACCUGAAGUCGGUAACCAUAUAGGAGCUGCCUAGGGUAAAACUAGUAACUGGGGCUAAGUCGUAACAAGGUAGCCGUACCGGAAGGUGUGGCUGGAACACCUCCUUUCU
rnacentral:rRNA from 1 species